AGUAAAAGUCGUAACAAGGUCUCCGUAGGUGAACCUGCGGAGGGAUCAUUACCGAGCUCGGGCUACCCGCCCGACCUCCCAACCUUUCUGCCGUCUCCGACCGCGUUGCCUCGGGGGUCCCGCCGUCCUGCGGCGGCCCCCAGAGGACCACAUAACACUGCGUAACCGUCGUCCGAGUAACAACGAAAUUUGAAACACAACUUUCAACAACGGAUCUCUUGGCUCUGGCAUCGAUGAAGAACGCAGCGAAAUGCGAUAAGUAAUGUGAAUUGCAGAAUUCCGUGAAUCAUCGAAUCUUUGAACGCACAUUGCGCCCCUCGGUAUUCAGGGGGGCAUGCCUGUUCGAGCGUCAUUACGCCACUCAAGCCUCGGCUUGGUCUUGGGCGUCGCGGUCUCCCCGCGUGCCUCAAUGUCGCCGGCUGGUGCGUCCGUCUCUAAGCGUUGUGAAUCAACAGUCGCUCCGGAGGUCGGACGGAACCGCGCCGUCAAGCCUUUUUUCUAUAGGUUGACCUCGGAUCAGGUAGGGAUACCCGCUGAACUUAAGCAUAUCAAUAAGCGGAGGA
rnacentral:rRNA from 1 species